rnacentral:rRNA from 1 species
UGGGGAAUAUUGCACAAUGGGCGAAAGCCUGAUGCAGCAACGCCGCGUGAGCGAAGAAGGCCUUUGGGUCGUAAAGCUCUGUCCGAGGGGAAGAUAAUGACGGUACCCUUGGAGGAAGCCCCGGCUAACUACGUGCCAGCAGCCGCGGUAAUACGUAGGGGGCGAGCGUUAUCCGGACUUAUUGGGCGUAAAGAGUGCGUAGGUGGUUCUUUAAGCGUGAGGUGGAAGGCAAUGGCUUAACGAUUGUAAGCCUUGCGAACGGGAGAACUUGAGUGCAGGAGAGGUAAGUGGAAUUCCUAGUGUAGCGGUGAAAUGCGUAGAUAUUAGGCGGAACACCAGUGGCGAAGGCAACUUACUGGACUGUAACUGACACUGAGGCACGAAAGCGUGGGGGGCAAACA